UACGUAGGGUGCAAGCGUUGUCCGGAAUUAUUGGGCGUAAAGAGCUCGUAGGUGGCCUGUCGCGUCGGCUGUGAAAACUCCGGGGCUCAACUCCGAGCUUGCAGUCGAUACGGGCAGGCUAGAGUUCGGCAGGGGAGACUGGAAUUCCUGGUGUAGCGGUGAAAUGCGCAGAUAUCAGGAGGAACACCGGUGGCGAAGGCGGGUCUCUGGGCCGAUACUGACACUGAGGAGCGAAAGCGUGGGAGCGAACAGG
rnacentral:rRNA from 1 species